GACGUAGGAUGCAAGCGUUGUCCGGAUUUAUUGGGCGUAAAGAGUUCGUAGGCGGUUCGUUAAGUCUGAUGUUAAAGACUGGGGCUCAACCCCGGGAGUGCAUUGGAUACUGGCGGACUGGAGUGUGGUAGAGGCUAGUGGAAUUCCCGGUGUAGCGGUGAAAUGCGCAGAUAUCGGGAAGAACACCCGUGGCGAAGGCGGUUCUCUGGGACGGUACUGACGCUGAGACGCGAAAGCGUGGGGAGCGAACAGG
rnacentral:rRNA from 1 species